UUUCCAGGCAAAUCCGGAAAACUAAGGCUGAGGCGUGAUGACGAGGCACUACGGUGCUGAAGCAACAAAUGCCCUGCUUCCAGGAAAAGCCUCUAAGCAUCAGGUAACAUCAAAUCGUACCCCAAACCGACACAGGUGGUCAGGUAGAGAAUACCAAGGCGCUUGAGAGAACUCGGGUGAAGGAACUAGGCAAAAUGGUGCCGUAACUUCGGGAGAAGGCACGCUGAUAUGUAGGUGAAGUCCCUCGCGGAUGGAGCUGAAAUCAGUCGAAGAUACCAGCUGGCUGCAACUGUUUAUUAAAAACACAGCACUGUGCAAACACGAAAGUGGACGUAUACGGUGUGACGCCUGCCCGGUGCCGGAAGGUUAAUUGAUGGGGUCAGCGCAAGCGAAGCUCUUGAUCGAAGCCCCGGUAAACGGCGGCCGUAACUAUAACGGUCCUAAGGUAGCGAAAUUCCUUGUCGGGUAAGUUCCGACCUGCACGAAUGGCGUAAUGAUGGCCAGGCUGUCUCCACCCGAGACUCAGUGAAAUUGAACUCGCUGUGAAGAUGCAGUGUACCCGCGGCAAGACGGAAAGACCCCGUGAACCUUUACUAUAGCUUGACACUGAACAUUGAGCCUUGAUGUGUAGGAUAGGUGGGAGGCUUUGAAGUGUGGACGCCAGUCUGCAUGGAGCCGACCUUGAAAUACCACCCUUUAAUGUUUGAUGUUCUAACGUUGACCCGUAAUCCGGGUUGCGGACAGUGUCUGGUGGGUAGUUUGACUGGGGCGGUCUCCUCCUAAAGAGUAACGGAGGAGCACGAAGGUUGGCUAAUCCUGGUCGGACAUCAGGAGGUUAGUGCAAUGGCAUAAGCCAGCUUGACUGCGAGCGUGACGGCGCGAGCAGGUGCGAAAGCAGGUCAUAGUGAUCCGGUGGUUCUGAAUGGAAGGGCCAUCGCUCAACGGAUAAAAGGUACUCCGGGGAUAACAGGCUGAUACCGCCCAAGAGUUCAUAUCGACGGCGGUGUUUGGCACCUCGAUGUCGGCUCAUCACAUCCUGGGGCUGAAGUAGGUCCCAAGGGUAUGGCUGUUCGCCAUUUAAAGUGGUACGCGAGCUGGGUUUAGAACGUCGUGAGACAGUUCGGUCCCUAUCUGCCGUGGGCGCUGGAGAACUGAGGGGGGCUGCUCCUAGUACGAGAGGACCGGAGUGGACGCAUCACUGGUGUUCGGGUUGUCAUGCCAAUGGCACUGCCCGGUAGCUAAAUGCGGAAGAGAUAAGUGCUGAAAGCAUCUAAGCACGAAACUUGCC
rnacentral:rRNA from 1 species